rnacentral:sRNA from 1 species
GCCGGGCUUGGUGGUGCACACCUGUAAUCCCAGUGGCAUGGGAGGCUGAGGCAGAAGGAUUGCAAGUUCAAAGCCAGCCUCAGCAAAAGUGAAACGCUAAGCAACUAAGUGAGACCCUGUCUCUA